ensembl:lncRNA
UGUGGGGCUAGAGUAAAGUCGUUGAGGGGCUAGAGUAAAGUCGUUGAGGGGCUAGAGUAAAGUCGUUGAGGGCUAGAGGAAAGUCGUUGAGGGCUAGAAGUAAAGUCGUUGAGGGGCUAGAGUAAAGUCAUUGAGGGGCUAGAGUAAAGUCAUUGAGGGGCUAGAGUACAGUCAUUGAGAGGCUAGAGUAAAGUCAUUGAGGGGCUAGACUAGCGUCAUUGAGGGGCUAGAGUAAAGUCAUUGAGGGGCUAGACUAGCGUCAUUGAGGGGCUAGAGUAAAGUUGUUGAGGGCUAGAGGAGAGUCGUUGAGGGGCUAGAGUAAAGUCAUUGAGGGGCUAGAGUAAGGUCAUUGAGAGGCUAGAGUAAAGUCAUUGAGGGGCUAGAGUAAAGUCAUUGAGGGGCUAGACUAACGUCAUUGAGGGGCUAGACUAGCGUCAUUGAGGGGCUAGAGUAAAGUCAUUGAGGG